AAGUGAUCAGGGUGCCACUGAUUGACUGGCGUGGGACAUCUUCCAUGGAACUGGAUAUGCACUAUAGCCCCUUAGGAGAUGUCCCAGUCCAGCAAAUCAGCCCUACAACAUUGCCAAAA
rnacentral:precursor_RNA from 15 species